UCCAGCCUGAACUGCAUAGUGAGACCUCGUCUCAAAAAGACAAAAACAAAACGAAACAAAAACCACAAAGUGUUGCUGUUGGUUGGAGCUGUCGGUUCUCCUGGAGGAGCGUGUCAUGCUGGCUUCCCCAUGUGAAUUUGGUCCUUAUCGCUGGAAGAGCUCGGGGCCUUGUCGUCACUGAGAGUGGCUGUGGGUCACUUUGCGGGAACUCUGGUCCUUACUUUGAGCAUCGCUUCCUGGCUGGGGAGGGGAAGAUGUGUGCUGCUCAGUCUCCGGGAGAAGCCGUCACGCUGGCUUCCUGACAUGAACUUGACUGUUCUCGUGGUUGGAGGAGCUCAGGACCUCAUCUUAGCUGAGGAUGGAUGGCUGUGCUCCCGAGCUGCUGGAACCCGGAGCCUCAAGCACGCCCAGCGCACCCCGCCCUGCCCCGAGGAGCUCCGGAGUCCGGAGGAUUGCGCAGGCGCGGCUCUGGCUCGGCUUCCCGGAUGACACAGCCGGAGUCCGGUGGCCGCUCUGCGGUUUGCUUCCCACGACUGCCGGGAAGGGAAGGAAAUGACAGAUUGUAGCUGCGAGCUGGUGAAAAUUAAGAGGUGCCUUUUCCCCAGUCUGAGUUCAUGGGUCCCUGAAUUCACCCUGGGUCCUGGAGGUGGUGACUGGAUCGAGGUCUGCACGGAGGGGGUUUUUCCUUGAGGGAAGGAUUAGGGAGGGCACUGGAUGCAGAGUCAUGCAGGCCUGGGUUCAAAUCUAGCUCUGCCUCUCUCCCUGGG
rnacentral:lncRNA from 1 species